rnacentral:rRNA from 1 species
AGUAAGGAAUAUUGGUCAAUGGGCGGAAGCCUGAACCAGCCAUGCCGCGUGCAGGAAGACGGCCUUAUGGGUUGUAAACUGCUUUUGUCAGGGAAUAAACCCUCGUUUGCGAACGAGGCUGAAGGUACCUGAAGAAUAAGCAUCGGCUAACUCCGUGCCAGCAGCCGCGGUAAUACGGAGGAUGCGAGCGUUAUCCGGAUUCAUUGGGUUUAAAGGGUGCGCAGGCGGGCGUAUAAGUCAGGGGUGAAAUGCCACGACUCAACCGUGGAACUGCCUUUGAUACUGUAUGUCUUGAGUUUAGUUGAAGUGGGCGGAAUGUAGCAUGUAGCGGUGAAAUGCAUAGAGAUGCUACAGAACACCGAUAGCGAAGGCAGCUCACUAAGUUAAGACUGACGCUCAUGCACGAAAGCGUGGGGAUCAAACAGGAUUAGAUACCCCUGGUAGUCCCACGCUGUAAACGAUGAUCACUCGUUGUUGGCGAUAUACCGUC